ACAUACGACCACAGGGUGUGGAAAACAGGGCUUCCCGUCCGCUCAGCCGUACUUAAGCCACACGCCGGUGAGUUAGUAGUUGGGUGGGUGACCACCAGC
rfam:Penicillium nordicum strain DAOMC 185683 scaffold_69, whole genome shotgun sequence.